UUGUCACCAAAUGAGUUACCAAAAAUAUUUCAGUUUUAAGAGAUUUUCUGGAUUUCAGACUUUCUAGUAGGUGGUUUUUGAGCUGUAAUAAUAAGUUGUGCUGAUGGAGGCUAUAGGUAUCUACAAUGCAUCUAGAAGAAGAGACUACAGGAGAACUGCAGGAGUAAGAAAUCUUCACAGACAGGUAGCUGAAAGUGGAUUAUUUAGGAAGGAUGUUCCGAACGAAGAAACUCCAAAAGAAUGGAUGUCUGAGUGUGGAGAAAACCAAGAUUUUCAAAAUAGCUAGAGUAUAUACAUUAGAGAACAUGAAGGCCCAGAUCAUGAAGAGUCUUGGAUGCCAUAUUAAGGAAUUUGCAUUUUAUCCUAUAGAGACAAAAUGAAGCCAAUUAAGGGUUUUAAGCAGGAGAGAGAUGUGAUCAUAUUUGCCCUUUGGAAUGAUAAUUUUGGUGAUAGACAGUAGAUUGAGGGGGAUGAGGAUGGGGUUCUUCAAUAGGCAACUAGAAGUGAUGAUCACCUGAAAUAAAAGCAGGGAAGAAUUGUGUUUAGCUGCCAUUUCCUUUUGUGCUAAGAUCAAAGUUAAUCAUGAAAACUGUGAUGUGGAGAGGGAGAGGAGUUGUCAGAUUGUCUUUUUUCUAAUUAAUAUUUUUUAUCCAAGUAGUGCCUGUAUCUUCUUUACAAUGUUAAAUAGCACAAGACAUAGAAUAAAAGCCAAUGUGCACUGUACCACAUCCCAUUACCCCAGUCUUACUCCUUAAAGGCUACCACUUUCACCCCUUUAAAUGGUUCUUCUGGGAUUUACCUCUAUGAUCUAAAUAAGGGGCCUCAUCUGCUGCAAGUAACAAAAUAAGCCAAUUUGAAAAUAUCUUAAAUAGUAACACUUAUUCUCACAACAGGAAGUCCAGACUGGACAGGCUUCAGACACCAUAUUUGCUUCCAUCUCAGCUGGCUCCUCAUCACGAUCAUAAGAUCAAUGCCUCUGUUCCAAGAAUCACAUGAAAAAACUCCAUUGUAAGAAGAACGACCAUUGUUCUUGUUUUGAUACCAAGGAGACUCCUUAAUAAACAUUCUGCUGGCUAAAUUCCACCUCAGAGUCUACUUCCUAGGAAACCCAACCCAUGACAACGAUUGAAUAACACCUUUAAGUACUGAAAUAAGUAAAGCUGUCAACCCAGCUUCUAUAUGCUACAAAAUUAUCUUUCAAAAAUGAAGAAAAAUAAAGAUGUUUUCAGAUGGACUAAAGCUAAGAAUUGGUGUGUUGUGCUGUAAGAAAUACUUAGGGGAAUUCUUCAAGUGGGAGAUGAAUGACACCAGAUGAUAACUUGGAUUCAAUGGAAGGAAUAAAGAGCACAGGAAAUGCCUAUUGAUAUGGUGGAUGACAUUGAUUGAUUUCUGGAUGUUGAACCACACCCUUGCAUACCACUUCAUUAAG